UGGGGAAUAUUGGACAAUGGGCGCAAGCCUGAUCCAGCCAUGCCGCGUGAGUGAUGACGGCCUUAGGGUUGUAAAGCUCUUUCGACGGGGACGAUAAUGACGGUACCCGUAGAAGAAGCCCCGGCUAACUUCGUGCCGGCAGCCGCGGUAAUACGGAGGGGGCUAGCGUUGUUCGGAAUUACUGGGCGUAAAGCGCACGUAGGCGGCUUUGUAAGUUAGAGGUGAAAGCCCGGGGCUCAACCCCGGAAUUGCCUUUAAGACUGCAUCGCUUGAACGUCGGAGAGGUGAGUGGAAUUCCGAGUGUAGAGGUGAAAUUCGUAGAUAUUCGGAAGAACACCAGUGGCGAAGGCGGCUCACUGGACGACUGUUGACGCUGAGGUGCGAAAGCGUGGGGAGCAAAC
rnacentral:rRNA from 1 species